UCAUUAAACUUUGUCUUACGUUGGUUUUUUAAUCGGAUCUGGCCUUACAUUAUUUCAAUUUGUAUUAGGGUUUUCGAAUAUAUUUUGUCUCCGUCACUCUAUGAAACUUAUAUCCUGAAUAUGGCUAACGCGGCGAUCUUCCUUUUCGAUUUGAAGACCGGACGAUGCUCCUCCACCAUUCAAGUCCGGUUGCUCUGCUUCUUGGAGCCGAUGAACGUCCGAUGGGGUAGCGAACUCAUGGGAGUCGAUAUGUUUCUGCUUGAUUCCCAGAACCGUCCGUCGUGUUGAAUCUUUAUUACAGGAUUUUUUUAUCAUUUUUUGUUUAGUCGACCAUGAUGCCGGCGACGGUGAAUGUGAACCGGCUUGCAAUUCACAUGCCUAAUCUGAAGCGAUUCAACAUGUUUUGAUGAGAUAACCGAACCGGCUAUUCCGAUAGGUGUGGAAUCUUUCCGGUUCGCGAGCUGCUCGGUCUUGCCAACACAAACACUCAGCUUCCAGACAUUAUCGGUGAGGUAACUGCUGCGAAGAGCACUGUCACCGACCCUCCACAUGACAAGAACCGUUUGAUGACAACCAUUAAAAUGGAUAAGUAGCUAAUUCUUCCAUAUUGAUCCAUUUAGAUUUUAAUACUGGUUUUCUAUUUAAAAAAUAUUACAUUUUUUUAUCACUUUUCUUAUGUACGUGUUAUCAGUGAUGUUUCGGUCACUAUGAGUAUGUUCGACUCACAGCCUGUCAAGCUCCACAAUCAACUUGAAUCAAUGGGAGGUGAUCCAAGGGUUCUGGUUGCAACCAGUAUCAACCCCAAAAUUGUGGGAGGUCAUCUGUUUCUGAAUGCCACUUCAGGCACACGCAUAUACUUUGACAAGGAAACCAUCGCAGUGGUUGCCCAAGACACUGGGCUUGCGCCAGCAGCUCCAUUGCUUAAGGGCUACGACAAGGUGGAAUCCCUGAGCGUAGCUGAUCUCAAUGAAUUUGUCAAUUCUGCUUCCUCUCAGGUGUAACAACCAUAUAUUAUUAUUUGAGUAUGGAAUGAAUUAAAGUUAAAAGUUUGAUGCUGCUGAUUUACGAAUGUAGGAGAUUGAUUUCAUCUGCACUGAGAAGGUCACUGGUAUCAAGCUGGACAAAGGAUGGUGCUACGUUUCUUGCUCCAACUGUACCAAGAAGCUCCAACGCACUGUCUCGCUUUCACAUGUCUGGAUUGUAAUAAUACUAAUGUUGUUGGUGUUCUGAAGACUGAUGUAUCGGGUGGAGAUGUCCAUUGCAGAUGAAACUGCUGAAGGCCUCUUUGUUUGUUUUGAUUGGGUUAUGACAAAACUGCAUAAUAUGAGACCCUAUGAAGCUUGCCAUCUUUUGGCACCUCCAUUUGUUGCAGACAUGGAGGGUAAAACCUACAAGUUCCAGGUCAAGGUCAGUGCAUACAACUUCACUGAAAACCAUCAAAUUUUUACGAUCUCCUGCAUCCUUAGUGAAGGUGACCGUAUGCCGCUCCGUCAGUUUGUUGUCAAUGGAGGUGAUGAUGACAAUGGAGACGACAACAGUGGUGCCAUCUCGGUUGGUGUUAAGGUGGAGACUGGUGGUAGCAGUCAGGUGCAAGGAUCCUCAGGAAUUAAGAAGAAGGCACGUACGGCAUAGGUGGAGAGGAUUGGAUACUUGAAGUUGUGCAGUAUUUUCCGCUUUCAGUAAUGCUUACGCAUGUGUUUUUUUAUCCAUGUUUUGUUGACCACUUAAUCUUUGAAUCUUGGUUAUUUUAUAUUUGGUUACAGACAAGCUUUAUUAAAUCUAUCACGUUUUCCA